CCGCCGCCCUGGCACCGCCCCCAGCUCGAGCCCUGCCAGGGACCGGCGCGCUGUUCUUUCCCCAGCUCCGCCGCAGAACCCGGCCGCCGCGACGCUCCCUCGCCGCUCUGACAGCGAGGAGCCGCGAAGCUCGCGUGUGCCUCGGACCCUAGCGUUCUCGGGUUUGCUAGAUCCACAAGCAACCCGAAAAUCAGUUGUUGCUGAGCUGUGGGAUACUUGAAGAUCUCUGCGCAAGGUCUUCUCUUGUUCCGGACCAGUAUCUCCCAUUACUCGGGGAGGGAAGGUCUUUGUCCUCAUUCUCCUCAAGCACCUAGUAGGUUUGAAUGUGGCUCCUGUAGAGUAGAUCACCCAAAAGGGAAUCAAAUGUUUUUAGUACCAUCAGAGCAAAGUACCCUAACUUCCUCCUUGUAGGACUUACUGCCUUCCAUUCACACAGUAAAGUUCUUGGCUCCCCCA